AGAGUUUGAUCCUGGCUCAGGACGAACGCUGGCGGCGUGCCUAAUACAUGCAAGUAGAACGCUGAAGAGAGGAGCUUGCUCUUCUUGGAUGAGUUGCGAACGGGUGAGUAACGCGUAGGUAACCUGCCUUGUAGCGGGGGAUAACUAUUGGAACCGAUAGCUAAUACCGCAUAACAAUGAGAAUCGCAUGAUUCUUAUUUGAAAGAAGCAAUUGCUUCACUACUUGAUGAUCCCGCGUUGUAUUAGCUAGUUGGUAGUGUAAAGGACUACCAAGGCGAUGAUACAUAGCCGACCUGAGAGGGUGAUCGGCCACACUGGGACUGAGACACGGCCCAGACUCCUACGGGAGGCAGCAGUAGGGAAUCUUCGGCAAUGGGGGCAACCCUGACCGAGCAACGCCGCGUGAGUGAAGAAGGUUUUCGGAUCGUAAAGCUCUGUUGUAAGAGAAGAACGUUAAGUAGAGUGGAAAAUUACUUAAGUGACGGUAUCUAACCAGAAAGGGACGGCUAACUACGUGCCAGCAGCCGCGGUAAUACGUAGGUCCCAAGCGUUGUCCGGAUUUAUUGGGCGUAAAGCGAGCGCAGGUGGUUUCUUAAGUCUGAUGUAAAAGGCAGUGGCUCAACCAUUGUGUGCAUUGGAAACUGGGAGACUUGAGUGCAGGAGAGGAGAGUGGAAUUCCAUGUGUAGCGGUGAAAUGCGUAGAUAUAUGGAGGAACACCGGAGGCGAAAGCGGCUCUCUGGCCUGUAACUGACACUGAGGCUCGAAAGCGUGGGGAGCAAACAGGAUUAGAUACCCUGGUAGUCCACGCCGUAAACGAUGAGUGCUA
rnacentral:rRNA from 1 species